rnacentral:rRNA from 1 species
GACGAACGCUGGCGGCGUGCUUAACACAUGCAAGUCGAACGGAAAGGCCCUGCUUUUGUGGGGUGCUCGAGUGGCGAACGGGUGAGUAACACGUGAGUAACCUGCCCUUGACUUUGGGAUAACUUCAGGAAACUGGGGCUAAUACCGGAUAGGAGCUCCUGCUGCAUGGUGGGGGUUGGAAAGUUUCGGCGGUUGGGGAUGGACUCGCGGCUUAUCAGCUUGUUGGUGGGGUAGUGGCUUACCAAGGCUUUGCCGGGUAGCCGGCCUGAGAGGGUGACCGGCCACAUUGGGACUGAGAUACGGCCCAGACUCCUACGGGAGGCAGCAGUGGGGAAUAUUGCACAAUGGGCGGAAGCCUGAUGCAGCAACGCCGCGUGCGUGAUGACGGCCUUCGGGUUGUAAACCGCUUUCGCCUGUGACGAAGCGUGAGUGACGGUAAUGGGUAAAGAAGCACCGGCUAACUACGUG